rnacentral:rRNA from 1 species
CGUAACAAGGUCUCCGUUGGUGAACCAGCGGAGGGAUCAUUACUGAGUUUACGCUCUAUAACCCUUUGUGAACAUACCUAUAACUGUUGCUUCGGCGGGUAGGGUCUCCGCGACCCUCCCGGCCUCCCGCCUCCGGGCGGGUCGGCGCCCGCCGGAGGAUAACCAAACUCUGAUUUAACGACGUUUCUUCUGAGUGGUACAAGCAAAUAAUCAAAACUUUUAACAACGGAUCUCUUGGUUCUGGCAUCGAUGAAGAACGCAGCGAAAUGCGAUAAGUAAUGUGAAUUGCAGAAUUCAGUGAAUCAUCGAAUCUUUGAACGCACAUUGCGCCCGCCAGCAUUCUGGCGGGCAUGCCUGUUCGAGCGUCAUUUCAACCCUCAAGCUCUGCUUGGUGUUGGGGCCCUACAGCUGAUGUAGGCCCUCAAAGGUAGUGGCGGACCCUCCCGGAGCCUCCUUUGCGUAGUAACUUUACGUCUCGCACUGGGAUCCGGAGGGACUCUUGCCGUAAAACCCCCCAAUUUUCCAAAGGUUGACCUCGGAUCAGGUAGGAAUACCCGCUGAACUUAAGCAUAUCAAUAA